rnacentral:rRNA from 1 species
AGUGAACGCUGGCGGUAGGCCUAACACAUGCAAGUCGAACGGCAGCACAGUAAGAGCUUGCUCUUACGGGUGGCGAGUGGCGGACGGGUGAGGAAUACAUCGGAAUCUACUUUUUCGUGGGGGAUAACGUAGGGAAACUUACGCUAAUACCGCAUACGACCUACGGGUGAAAGCAGGGGAUCUUCGGACCUUGCGCGAUUGAAUGAGCCGAUGUCGGAUUAGCUAGUUGGCGGGGUAAAGGCCCACCAAGGCGACGAUCCGUAGCUGGUCUGAGAGGAUGAUCAGCCACGCGGGAGGUGAGACACGACCCAGACACUGAGGGGAGGCAGAGGGGGGGAAUAUAGGAAAAUGGGCGCAAGCUUGAACAAGCCAUACCGGGUGGGUGAAGAGGGCCUGCGGGUUGUAAAGCCGUUUUGUUGGGAAAGAAAAGCAGCAGGUUAAUACCCCGCUGUUCGAAGGGAACCCAAAGAAUAGGCCCGGCCAAAUUUGGG